rnacentral:rRNA from 1 species
CCUACGGGUGGCUGCAGUGGGGAAUAUUGCACAAUGGGGGAAACCCUGAUGCAGCGACGCCGCGUGAAGGAAGAAGUAUCUCGGUAUGUAAACUUCUAUCAGCAGGGAAGAUAGUGACGGUACCUGACUAAGAAGCCCCGGCUAACUACGUGCCAGCAGCCGCGGUAAUACGUAGGGGGCAAGCGUUAUCCGGAUUUACUGGGUGUAAAGGGAGCGUAGACGGACUGGCAAGUCUGAUGUGAAAGGCGGGGGCUCAACCCCUGGACUGCAUUGGAAACUGUUAGUCUUGAGUGCCGGAGAGGUAAGCGGAAUUCCUAGUGUAGCGGUGAAAUGCGUAGAUAUUAGGAGGAACACCAGUGGCGAAGGCGGCUUACUGGACGGUAACUGACGUUGAGGCUCGAAAGCGUGGGGAGCAAACAGGAUUAGAUACCCCGGUAGUC